rnacentral:rRNA from 1 species
UACGUAGGCAGCGAGCGUUGUUCGGAAUUACUGGGCGUAAAGAGUGUGUAGGCGGUGCUCUAAGUUCGGUGUGAAAUCUCCUGGCUCAACUGGGAGGGUGCGCCGGAAACUGGAGUGCGUUGAGCGUGGGAGAGGAAAGCGGAAUUCCUGGUGUAGCGGUGAAAUGCGUAGAUAUCAGGAGGAACACCUGUGGUGUAGACGGCUUUCUGGACCAUAGCUGACGCUGAGACACGAAAGCGUGGGUAGCAAACAGG